GUGAACUUGGGAUGGUGAUGGGGUGUCCUGAAGCCUAGCCCGCGCCAUUUCUCUCGGUGGGGAGAGCAGGCCUCAGCCCAGAACCUCCCAGAGCAGAGCCAGGAUACGCUUCACCAGCAUUACUCCACUCUCUUUGUUCUUGUUUUGAAGGAACCAGCUUCCUUUUGGCAGCCAUAACAGCCGAACACGUGCUUGCCAUAAACCUGCCUUGGUCACGUAGAGGUCAGAUGCCUGUCUCGUGACAAGGAACCUUAGUCACUUAGAGGUCAGAUGCCUGUCUUGUGACAAGGAACCAAUCGGAAGUUAGCUGGUGGCGCUAUGCUUUACGACCCUGGGUGUGCUUUACGGACAAGCGCACAGCAAUGACGUAGAGAGCAUAGCAACCGCCCUGGGAGGGCCUAUGAGCCAUAACAACCAGUUGACCAAUCAACACAGGGCAAGCCCUCCAAGCCUGGAGGCACACCAAUCGUGAGCCUGUGCGUACCCCUAGACACUCCCCUUACGCUGCCCUAUAAGAUCUUUGGGGAGACCUUAGGAGCCGUCUUUUCUAGCCGUCUGCCAUGGCGGGUGGGUGAAAGACCCGAGCUAACAUGGGGUUAGUUCGUUAAAUUACAAUAAAGCCUCGUGCAGUUUGCAGCAAGCUCUCGAAUCCGCCUGGUGAUUGGGGUGACCGCGAACCUGGCCUGAGACCCCGGAUACUUGAGUUUUCGAGGGUCUAACAUUUUGGGGGCUCGUCCGGGAUUUGCGACCACCCUUCACCUGAGUGGAUUCGAUCUUGGAGCACAUGGCACGGGAAAGGAGUUCUGCCAUGUGUCACGGGUUAGAAUGUGUUAUGUUGGAGUCCCCCGAUGCUGCUUUUCUGAACUCGAACCACUGCUGCAGCCCUUACAGCUGAGCCUGGCCCAUGUAGGUUUCUGCUUCUGGCAGACAUCUGAAUAUCAGUUGCUGACUACAGACUGUUCUAAGACUGCGAGCCCUAGACUUGCUGUGGAUGUGAACCAGUUCAGCUGAUAUGGACACCCCCUGUCUCUGCAACAGUGUCUGCUACCCAGAAGCCCCUGAUGAAUUCCCCAUUGCCUAAAUUCCUUUUUGCUUUUGACUAGCAUUUCAACCUUCUGGGGUCCCUAACUUCGUCCCAAAGUCAGCAGGAAGCAGUUUAGAAAAGAAUUUCGCCGUCCAUUUUCCCUGGUUAAAAUGCUAAGUCAAAAGGAACUCCCUUACAUGGGGAUGCCAGUAUCUAUCACUCCCUGAUGGGGAUGCUAGAGAGACAGCAAUUCCAUGAUUGGAAUUUACAAAAAAGAAAAUGGGGGAAUGAAGGAACCAGCUUCCUUUUGGCAGCCAUAACAGCCGAACACGUGCUUGCCAUAAACCUGCCUUGGUCACGUAGAGGUCAGAUGCCUGUCUCGUGACAAGGAACCUUAGUCACUUAGAGGUCAGAUGCCUGUCUUGUGACAAGGAACCAAUCGGAAGUUAGCUGGUGGCGCUAUGCUUUACGACCCUGGGUGUGCUUUACGGACAAGCGCACAGCAAUGACGUAGAGAGCAUAGCAACCACCCUGGGAGGGCCUAUGAGCCAUAACAACCAGUUGACCAAUCAACACAGGGCAAGCCCUCCAAGCCUGGAGGCACACCAAUCGUGAGCCUGUGCGUACCCCUAGACACUCCCCUUACGCUGCCCUAUAAGAUCUUUGGGGAGACCUUAGGAGCCGUCUUUUCUAGCCGUCUGCCAUGGCGGGUGGGUGAAAGACCCGAGCUAACAUGGGGUUAGUUCGUUAAAUUACAAUAAAGCCUCGUGCAGUUUGCA
rnacentral:lncRNA from 1 species